rnacentral:rRNA from 1 species
UACGUAGGUGGCAAGCGUUGUCCGGAUUUACUGGGCGUGAAGGGCGUGCAGGCGGUCUGUUAAGUGCAGGGUGAAAGCUCCCGGCUCAACUGGGAGAGGUCCUUGCAUACUGGCGGACUUGAGGGGGGUAGAGGAAAGUGGAAUUCCCGGUGUAGUGGUGAUAUGCGUAGAUAUCGGGAGGAACACCUGUGGCGAAGGCGGCUUUCUGGGCCCUACCUGACGCUGAGACGCGAAAGCGUGGGGAGCGAACCGG